rnacentral:rRNA from 1 species
CCCACUGGAAACGGUGAGUAAUACCUUAUACGCCCUUCGGGGGAAAGAUUUAUCGGAUUUGGAUUAGCCCGCGUUAGAUUAGAUAGUUGGUGGGGUAAUGGCCUACCAAGUCUACGAUCUAUAGCUGGUUUUAGAGGAUGAUCAGCAACACUGGGACUGAGACACGGCCCAGACUCCUACGGGAGGCAGCAGUGGGGAAUCUUGGACAAUGGGCGCAAGCCUGAUCCAGCCAUGCCGCGUGAGUGAUGAAGGCCUUAGGGUCGUAAAGCUCUUUCGCCAGGGAUGAUAAUGACAGUACCUGGUAAAGAAACCCCGGCUAACUCCGUGCCAGCAGCCGCGGUAAUACGGAGGGGGUUAGCGUUGUUCGGAAUUACUGGGCGUAAAGCGCGCGUAGGCGGGUUGUUAAGUUAGAGGUGAAAUCCCGGGGCUCAACCCCGGAACUGCCUUUAAUACUGGCAACCUAGAGUUCGAGAGAGGUGAGUGGAAUUCCGAGUGUAGAGGUGAAAUUCGUAGAUAUUCGGAGGAACACCAGUGGCGAAGGCGGCUCACUGGCUCGAUACUGACGCUGAGGUGCGAAAGUGUGGGGAGCAAACAGGAUUAGAUACCCUGGUAGUCCACACCGUAAACGAUGAAUGCCAGUCGUCGGGUAGCAUGCUAUUCGGUGACACACCUAACGGAUU